AUUGAACGCUGGCGGCAGGCCUAACACAUGCAAGUCGAACGAGUGGCGGACGGGUGAGUAAUGUCUGGGAGACUGCCUGAUGGAGGGGGAUAACUACUGGAAACGGUAGCUAAUACCGCAUACCAUCGGAUGUGCCCAGAUGGGAUUAGAUAGGAGGUGGGGUAAAGGCUCACCUCGGCGACGAGCCCGAGCUGGUCUGACAGGAGGACCAGCCACACUGGAACUGAGACACGGUCCAUACUCCGACGGGAGGCAGCAGUGGGGAAUAUUGCACAAUGGGCGCAAGCCUGAUGCAGCCAUGCCGCGUGUAUGAAGAAGGCCUUCGGGUUGUAAAGUACUUUCAGCGGGGAGGCGUUACCCGCAGAAGAAGCACCGGCUAACUCCGUGCCAGCCGCCGCGGUAAUUC
rnacentral:rRNA from 1 species